UACGUAGGGGGCGAGCGUUGUCCGGAUUUAUUGGGCGUAAAGAGCGUGUAGGCGGCCAGGUAGGUCUGCUGUGAAAACUCGAGGCUCAACCUCGAGCUGUCGGCGGAAACCAUCUGGCUAGAGUCCGGAAGAGGAGAGUGGAAUUCCUGGUGUAGCGGUGAAAUGCGCAGAUAUCAGGAAGAACACCCGUGGCGAAGGCGGCUCUCUGGGACGGUACUGACGCUGAGACGCGAAAGCGUGGGGAGCGAACGGG
rnacentral:rRNA from 1 species